GAAAGCAAUGAGGCUCCUGGUUUCAAUUUUGGCUUCUGAGAGAUUUCAUGUUCCCUCGAGAGUGGUGCCAGACCAAGGAAGUCAAAUUGCUCUCUACUCAUCCAUGGCAGUGACCAUGAACAUGACCCCACAAAAAAGCAGUCAACAUAAAGUCCACAGGUGGUCUCUCUGAACUCUGCUUCUCGCAGGCACCAGCUAUCUUCUCUGGUCACAACCCAGCUCCACACCCAAGGCUCAGCUCCACAUGACUCCCAGCAGAAACCCAGGACCUACAGAAUGGAGAUGUGGCUGUGGUGUGAAGUAGGGCAAAUGUGGUAAGUUUCCAUGCAUUCCUCAUUCAAAAAAAUCUUUAUUGCGGUUACCUCAAUGGUAGGUUCCUACUCAGUGGUUUUACAGGGGUAGUAUCGGAUGUUCUGAGGUAUACAAAACUUUAAAAAACAGACAUGGAUUCUACCCUCAAGAAGCUUCAAGUCUCAUACAUGCUAAAAGAUGAAAGAUGGCCCUAACAGGUUUUGCUCAGUGGUUAGAGCGUCGGCUUGUGGACUGAAGGGUCCCAGAUUUGAUUCCAGUCAAAAGCAUGUACCUUGGUUGUGGGCACAUCCCCAGUA